UCAGCAACUGCCUGAAUUCUAUGGGGAAGGUAUUUCAAAUUCAUUGAGAAGUGAGAACCAACACCAACUUCUUGGAAAGGCCACCACGACCAGACCAGGAACAGCUGACCGCCAACCACCCGGAGCAGACCACCCGGAGCAGACCAACAAAAGGAGAGCCCAGACCAGACACCUUCACCACCCGAAACAGAGGCAUGGAGGAAGAAACAAAGAUGCCAACCUUCACCUGGAGCAAGCAGACCACAGGGGAGUGCCACUAUUAACCUCUGGGUCACGGGCUUCCAGGUGUGUCUGCUCACUCUGAGGUUUGUCCUUCCUCCUCCUGCAAGACCGGAGCAGACCCAAAAACCACCAUCCCUCACCUGAACAAGAUGACCGGGAUGAACCCAGAAGCCAUGGGCCGCUACAAUGUGGUGAGGCUGACGUUAUUCUCCAACGAGGAGGGUGCCGAGGACGGAGCCACCAAUCGCCGGGGAGCAACAGGAGCAGCAACAACAACCGCCAAACCAGAAACGAUGAGCCGUCUGGAAUUCAGCACGGCAGUUCUCCAGAGAGAUCCAGCACCAGUCCCAACACCAAUCCAGAUCCCGGUUUCUAGCACCAGUCCUAGCACCAGGCCACCAGAUGAGCUGCGGAGGAGGAACCAAAUCUUCACCCAGAGCGAGCAGGCCACAGGGGAGUACUACCAUUGAAUUUUGGGACUAGGGCUCCCUUGUGUCUCGGUUUGCUCCUCAGGUUGUCCUUCCUCCCCUACACAGAUCACCUGCAGCAGCCCCAGUUCCUGGUUCCCGGUUCCCCGUUCAUGUUUUCCCGGUCCCCAGUCCCAGCAAAAGACCCAGCACCAACCCCUGGUCUCCAGUCCUGGGCCCAGAUUCACAAAACCUUCUUAAAAAGAAGGAUCGGACCCUUUUUUUCAAUUUUCUCAAAAAAUGACAUACCCAAAUCUAACUGCCUGUAUCUCAGGACCUGAAGCAAAGAUAUGGAUAUUCUUGAAAUCAUUUGAAAGGGAACACUUUGAAAUUUGUGGAAAUGUGAAAUGAAUUCAGGAAAAUGAAACACAUUAGAUCUGGUAAAAGAUAAUACAAACAAAUAAGCAUGCACAUUUAUUUUAGCACAUUCACUAAAUUGUUUGAUAACAAUUAGCAAGCUAGUUUGUUACCACAUGUUCAUAUAAAUCAGAUUUGAUCGUUCAGACACAAGUCUGGCCAUGAAUCAGAUUUGUAUCUGACUUCAAACCACCUAUGAAGGUGAUUUGAAAUGUGGUUUGAAAUAUUCGAUUCCAUGUGCUUUUUGGCUGUAAAGACUUCAGAAAAAAGGACAUACUUGAAUCGGAUAUGCAAAUAAACAGGAUUUGAGUCACGUCAAACUGCCAAUGUGAACAUGGCUGUAAUAUUUUGUACAUCGGUGUAAGGUGUAGCACCUUAAUGCAUCUCAACUACAGGUUUAACAUAGGCUUUUAGUAAGUCUCUUUAAAGCAUAAAAUAUGUCAAUGUUCAACUUUAACAUGUGAUAACUAUGCAACACAACAGAUGAACAGCAAUUACAUUUCCACUCAUGGGUGGCUAAAAAGAUGAGAACUAGCUGAAUGCCACGCACCUUCUAAACUACUCCUCCAGGACGUCAGGUAGCCUAGCGGUUAAGAGUGUUGGGCCAGUAACCAAAAGGUCACUGGUUCAAAUCACUGAGCUGACUAGGUGAAAAAUCUGCCGAUGUGCCCUUGAGCAAGACACUUAACCCUAAUGUCUCGUGUAAGUUUUCUGCUAAAUGACUGGGUUAUAUCUCAAUAAUCCAGCAUCAAUAACACAACCAGACUAAGUGACCCAACACCAGCAGUUGAGUCAGCCAAAUAACCCAUAUGCAGUGUGUGUGUGUGCAGAUAUGAGUUCCCCAGGGGGUGUUUAAAUGCCCAUGGCAGCAUAAAGCAGAGACUAUGGGUGGAGGGUUUAAAUAUUUAUACCAGGCUUACUGCUUAGUGUACAGUCAGCCUCAAUGGGGCUCCAUAGGGAACAGACUUCUAGGGGGCAUCCAGGCUUGAUACAAGGCCGAUGUGUGUGUGCGUGCAAGCCUGUGUGACAGAGCAAGCAUGAGUGUGUGUUUCUCAAAUUCUCACAUUGAUAUUCCAUUCAGUCGGGCACAGUAGGUCACUCUGUUAUUAUUAGAGCUGGUAAUAAAAGCUGAAGAGUUGUCGCCCUCCUUGGACCAAUUCUGAGAACAGGGGUGAUACAUUCUUGUGAGAUGUAGGAGUGAGAGUUCUGCAAUGACGAGGGUAGAUGGAGAGUUUGGUGUCACGUAAAAUAUUGUUCAAUGUGUUACGUGACGUCAAUGUGACGACAUUCCCAAACAAUCUGACAUUAGCCUGUGUGUUUGACUCCUGACGUCUUUAUGUGUGUUUAUUAACAUAGUACUGUAACGUCUCUUAGCACGAGGCAAGUAAAUAGAAGUCUCUUUAAAUACACUAAACAGUCUUGAGACCCCAUAUGUGAAACACAUGCUACAGUGGCCCCAAGCAUUGAGUACACACACACACAGACGCGCCCGCCUUGAAAACAUAUAGCUACGCUAUCAGAUAAUCUCUGUCACUUCCUGUUGUUGUUGAUCUAGGUCAAAGGGCAGUACACAAAGAGCAAGCACAUCACUGGGCUGGAUUAUUUUCUCUGCUUUAAUGACAUAAAUGUGCAUUAAAUACUUAGUUCAUAUAGAGUUGUAUUUUUCUUGAAUAAAGAAAUAUAGUUACGGUUUAUAUGUUUAGGGACUUUUCUGACAAUUUCUGUACUGGGGUCUUCUUUUACAUACUCUGUGGAGAACCUGUAGAAGGGCCCAGAGUUGAUCCUGGUCAGGUCACAUUUUAAGAAAAAACGCCUGGCCCUAAUCGUAGAUCAUACAGCCUAUUAAUAGUCUGUAGAACGAGGUGAGAGGUACUCAAAUGUCUCAGCUCUUUCCACAGCCCUGUGUCUCCACAGUGUGAAGUCAUUCCCUCUUGUGCGUAAGCAGGUGAGGAAGAUAUCAUUCUGUUACAGUGCCUUCAGAAAGUAUUUACACCUCUCCACAUAUUGUUGUGUUGCAGCCGGAAUUUGAAAUUGAUUAAAUUAUGAUUUUGUGUCACUGACGUACACACAAUAUCCCAUAAUGUCAAAGUGGAAUUAUGUUUUUAGAAAUGUUUACAAAUUAAUAAAAAAUUAAAAGCUAAAA